GACGAACGCUGGCGGCGUGCUUAACACAUGCAAGUCGAACGGAAAGGCCCUGCUUUUGUGGGGUGCUCGAGUGGCGAACGGGUGAGUAACACGUGAGUAACCUGCCCUUGACUUUGGGAUAACUUCAGGAAACUGGGGCUAAUACCGGAUAGGAGCUCCUGCUGCAUGGUGGGGGUUGGAAAGUUUCGGCGGUUGGGGAUGGACUCGCGGCUUAUCAGCUUGUUGGUGGGGUAGUGGCUUACCAAGGCUUUGACGGGUAGCCGGCCUGAGAGGGUGACCGGCCACAUUGGGACUGAGAUACGGCCCAGACUCCUACGGGAGACAGCAGUGGGGAAUAUUGCACAAUGGGCGGAAGCCUGAUGCAGCAACGCAGCGUGCGGGAUGACGGCCUUCGGGUUGUAAACCGCUUUCGCCUGUGACGAAGCGUGAGUGACGGUAAUGGGUAAAGAAGCACCGGCUAACUACGUG
rnacentral:rRNA from 1 species